GACGGGGGGGCAAGCGUUAAUCGGAAUUACUGGGCGUAAAGCGCACGCAGGCGGUCAAUUAAGUCAGAUGUGAAAGCCCCGAGCUUAACUCGGGAAUUGCAUCUGAAACUGGUUGGCUAGAGUCUUGUAGAGGGGGGUAGAAUUCCAUGUGUAGCGGUGAAAUGCGUAGAGAUCUGGAGGAAUACCGGUGGCGAAGGCGGCCCCCUGGACGAAGACUGACGCUCAGGUGCGAAAGCGUGGGGAGCAAACAGG
rnacentral:rRNA from 1 species